AGAAGAAGAAGAAGAAAACUGCGAUCUGAGCAAUAAUUGAAAAAGAUGAAACUUUACACUAUUCUCCUUUUGUGUAUUACACUUUUUGUUUUGACUGCCAAUGGCCAAGGAUGUGUAGGUGAAGGUGAUUUUUGUGGCGGAUCUCGCCGUUGUUGUUGGCGUCUUAAAUGCAAGAGUACAAUAUGUCAAAGAAUUUGAGGUGGUUAAUCUAAUCAAAAUUUUAAUUCUAAAUAAUAAAUGUAAAUAAAAAUAGCACAAAUUUUC